UACGUAGGGGGCAAGCGUUGUCCGGAUUUACUGGGCGUAAAGAGCGUGUAGGCGGCCAUACAGGUCCGUUGUGAAAACUGGAGGCUCAACUUCCAGACGUCGACGGAAACCGUGUGGCUAGAGUCCGGAAGAGGAGAGUGGAAUUCCUGGUGUAGCGGUGAAAUGCGCAGAUAUCAGGAAGAACACCAAUGGCGAAGGCAGCUCUCUGGGACGGUACUGACGCUGAGACGCGAAAGCGUGGGGAGCGAACAGG
rnacentral:rRNA from 1 species